rnacentral:rRNA from 1 species
UACGAAGGGGGCUAGCGUUGCUCGGAAUGACUGGGCGUAAAGGGCGCGUAGGCGGCCGCCUAAGUCAGACGUGAAAUCCCUCGGCUCAACCGGGGAACUGCGUCUGAUACUGGGUGGCUUGAAUCCGGGAGAGGGAUGCGGAAUUCCGAGGUGUAGCGGUGAAAUGCGUAGAUAAUCUGGAGGAACACCGGUGGCGAAGGCGGCAUCCUGGACCGAUAUUGACGCUGAUGCGCGAAAGCCAGGGGAGCAAACGGG